rnacentral:misc_RNA from 1 species
GAUGAAGAACGUAGCAAAAUGCGAUAAGUAAUGUGAAUUGCAGAAUUCAGUGAAUCAUCGAAUCUUUGAACGCACAUUGCGCCCGCCAGUAUUCUGGCGGGCAUGCCUGUUCGAGCGUCAUUUCAACCAUCAAGCCCCGGGCUUGUGUUGGGGACCUGCGGCUGCCGCAGGCCCUGAAAUGCAGUGGCGGGCUCGCUGUCACUCCGAGCGUAGUAAUACAUCUCGCUCUGGACGUGCUGCGGGUUCCGGCCGUUAAAAGCCUUAUUUACCCAAGGUUGACCUCGGAUCAGGUAGGAAGACCCGCUGAACUUAAGCAUAUCAAUAAGCGGAGGA